rnacentral:lncRNA from 1 species
UUUUUUAAAAUUCUCUUCUUGGAGCCCCAUUGGAUCGACUAGUGAAAAGGGUAAGUCGUAACAUCCUUCGACUUUUAACAAACACUUUCUAGGUUCAAACUUUGGCGUCAUCGAGAUUUUGACUGAGUUGACUUUUUUUUCUUUUCAGGUGGACUUUUUGUGUAGAAGAUGAAAUGUGGGAAUAAAAGAGGGGGAAGAAGGUUCGUUUCCCUGAGAG